rnacentral:rRNA from 1 species
CUACGGGCGGCACCAGUAAGGAAUAUCGCGCAAUGGAGGCAACUCUGACGCAGCCAUGCCGCGUGCAGGAAGAAGGCCUUAUGGGUCGUAAACUGCUUUUAUUUAGGAAUAAACCCCCGAACGUGUUCGGGGCUGAAGGUACUAAACGAAUAAACACCGGCUAACUCCGUGCCAGCAGCCGCGGUAAUACGGAGGGUGCAAGCGUUAUCCGGAUUUAUUGGGUUUAAAGGGUGCGCAGGCGGGCUAUUAAGUCAGUGGUGAAAUCCCGGGGCUCAACUCCGGAACUGCCAUUGAUACUGAUAGUCUUGAGUUUGGUUGAAGUGGGCGGAAUGUAGCAUGUAGCGGUGAAAUGCAUAGAUAUGCUACAGAACACCAAUCGCGAAGGCAGCUCACUAAGCCAAAACUGACGCUCAUGCACGAAAGCGUGGGGAUCAAACAGGAUUAGAUACCCGCGUAGUC